UCUCCUUGGCUUGGAAAUUUAUGUGAAACCCUGAUUGCACUAUUCCCCACUGUUGGACCAUCUUUGUAUAACUGAUGCUUUUAUUGUUCCACUUACCUUCUGCUGGCCCAGCUGUAAUGUUGGCUUGCAGCUCAGGUCCAUAGGCGAUGGUUCGGGCUUGCACUUUGAAUAAAUAGGUCAUACCUUUGGUGAGAUCUCGGACCUUCAACCAGCGUUGCCAGUUCCCUUUUAUGUCCACAGUCACCACCUUACUUACUCCUGGAACAGUCACACAGAUAAAAAACAUAAGAGAAGGUUGCAAGGCAAAAAAAUGAAAUCAAGUGGAGUUUAUUACAUCUAGAUGUGAGGGCAACUGUGAGAUAGCUCUACGAACUACAAGUAAUAGCAACGUCAAGCAAGAUAAAUGAAACCAGGAGAAAUGGGAGAUUGCCUUGUAGCCUUGGAUGUUCCCAUUCUGGCUGUCAGCCGGAGGUGGGUCCCAGCUGCACAUAGUGAGUGCACAAGGUGACAGUGACCACCAGUAAAAUACAGCUUGUUCAGAGGGGUGCACUCGUUUAAUUGUGGCUCUGUCUUCUGGGCUUCAUGGUGGAGCGCAGGAAGUUCAGGGCAACAGUACUGCUGUCAAAGACCAAAAAGCUCAAGAUUUUGAGACUUCCACAGCAUACAACAGAGUGUGAGGCCAAGCUGGUCACACAGUACAAGCCUGAAAAUGCGUCGUGGAGAUUUGCAGAUGAUGACAUGCUCAGGGAAACAGGAAUAUGUGCAAUCGCGGAAGAAAAUGGACCACUUUAACAACGUAUUUUCUUUCGUGGUAGUGACACUACUGCCUGUCCUCAGCUGACAGCUUCAAAGUGCUCUCAAUACCCAGGUCUAAAGCAGCAUCUUUAACAGUGUUUUUCUUUGGAUCCCCUGCGUCAGCCUGCAACAGUUGCUGCUUCUGAGAUGUGACCAUUAGAAGAGUCAGCGUGUGCGACCUGCUGCCAGAAAAACACCAUGUUUCCUCAACCCCUUUUUGGAGCACAUCUAAGAAACACAAUGGUUAAAACCUGCCAGUGAUCACUCUGCAGUGACACACUCACUGCUGGAGCUGCACUUUUGCUGGCACAGCGGCAGACAAUUUGAUGGGAAGGAAAGAAAAAAGAGGCUGAUGUUGAAAACGACAUUUCUUUUCACUACCCCAGAUCCGCCAUGAGAUGUAAAUUGUUUGGUUUUGUGCCAUGUGUGUCUGUCCCUCUGCUCAACUUUCAAAGGCUGAUAUGUACCUCCUCUUCUAAGCACAGAUUUCUUGCUGACAGAAGGACAGCAGAACAGUGCUGCUGCUGCUCGAUGUGGCUCUGUGCAGACAGCACAUUACAUUAAGGGUGAAAUGAAAUACUUUAAAAAGAAGAAAACACACCCCUAAGGCCUCUGCCUGUUUGAAACCCCAAACCAUUCACUGUAUGUAUGGACAGCCUGUGCCAAUAAAAAGCAACUGCAUUUUAAAGGUGAAUUCAAAAGCCUAUUACCUUCUAGGAAUGCAGUUCAAGAUUACUCAGCUCUGAGUUUUUUCAUGACUGUUGAAAGCAUGAAUACAUAAAAAUCAAGAUUAAAGCUAACCUCACAUGGCUUUAGCUGUUAGUGACAUUAUCAACUAUAGCAGGAGUGACACAGACCCCUGAGGGUCCAAACUCAGUCCUUGGCAGGUGGAAAGCAUUUCAUCUUCCAUGAAAAACAAAAAGUAUGUAUCCAUGAAGUCUAAUUCUGUGCACGUAUCCUGCCUUGGAAUUUCAUGCAGAUACUUGUCUGAUUCCAGUUCACCUUUGAGACUGUCUCCUUGAAACACUUUCUCAGCCAAAACCAUAAGGAGAAAGGCUGAGCAGGUUGUAUAGUAAUUUGGAAAAAAAAUAACAAUAACUAUGGACUGGGAUGAGAUUGGCAGAAUCAAGUAAAAACAACUCUAUUGGGAAAUGCAGUGAGUGUCAAAAUGAGCCCAUAAAUAAAGUUAUACAUCUAAAUUCACAUUUAAACAUAUCACUGCCCCCAUUUUCCAGUCGUGCUGAACAGCCUCUGCUCACACUGCAGUCAAUUUGAGCUUGCAAAUGCUUAUAACCUUUAAAGAGAAGGUGCUUAAAAUCCCCAGUGGCCUGCCUGUGACAGAGCUCUGUGCAUUGCAGAAGGUUCACCUUACUUUUUCUCACUGCUUCCUUGGGAUAUUUGCUCUCUGUGUCACCCAGAGCUUUUUAUCAAUACAAAACUACUAUUCCUUUUCUCAGUGACAGUUGCCACGAUGCUCUGUAGCACAGGUAGGCUACAAAUCCUUGUGAUUCAUUUGGUAUACUCGGUAACUGUUUUUAUGAAGCACUCCUUGCUGCUCUUACAUCUGCUGCAAUUGCCAGCUAGGAAAAGAUUUCUCCUCUACUGAUUUUCUAAUUGCUUCUGUAAUGCCAGUAUUAUGUCAGGAAAUUCACAGACAAGACUGGGACAAGGUUCCCUGACACUCAUGCCAUUUAAAUAAACAUGCAGGCGAAAAAAAAAUGAGGAGAAAAAUGCAGUGAAAAAGAGACUGAAGAUUUUCUGUGCAUCAGCUUGAUGCCACAGUUCCCAACAAUCCCAAGCAAGUUUCAGUUUUGUAAAGGCCUCUGAUCCUUUUCCGUCUAGCAAGCACUUCCUCCUUAGUUUAUCAAAGCAUGCCUUUG